GAAAGCCCACAGGACUGGUCAAAUGGGAAGAGAUACAGCGGGGCUAGGAGUACCAUCUAGCCUGUGACGGAUGGCAAGGCUCACUUUCACAUCCACUCUUUUCUUCAUUCAUUCCAAACAACCUCAAGAGGUCAGCUGGCCCAGGUUCCUGCCUGAGGUCAGCAAGAGGGAACUGAUUAGGAAGAGCAGACAGUGUCUUUCACACAGAGGAGGACAAGCCAGGCAGGAGCAAAGCUUUUUCAGAACAGCAGA